rnacentral:rRNA from 1 species
UACGAAGGGGACUAGCGUUGUUCGGAAUCACUGGGCGUAAAGCGCACGUAGGCGGAUAUGUCAGUCAGGGGUGAAAUCCCGGGGCUCAACCUCGGAACUGCCCUUGAUACAGCAUAUCUUGAGUCCGAUAGAGGUGGGUGGAAUUCCUAGUGUAGAGGUGAAAUUCGUAGAUAUUAGGAAGAACACCGGUGGCGAAGGCGGCCUGCUGGGACAUGGCUGACGCUGAGGCGCGACAGCGUGGGGAGCAAACAGG